AACCUCUCAGGGUCACACCUGGAGAGUUUCCAGUCCUCUACCAGUCUCGGCUACGGGAGGGAGAGUCAAGCAGAGGCAUAUCCACUCUAAUCCUAGCUUGAGCAGUGGCUAGUGAGUGGAAGGCAAUCUGCUACAAGU